rnacentral:rRNA from 3 species
GUGGGGAUGACGUCAAGUCAUCAUGGCCCUUACGACCAGGGCUACACACGUGCUACAAUGGCGCAUACAAAGAGAAGCGACCUCGCGAGAGCAAGCGGACCUCAUAAAGUGCGUCGUAGUCCGGAUUGGAGUCUGCAACUCGACUCCAUGAAGUCGGAAUCGCUAGUAAUCGUGGAUCAGAAUGCCACGGUGAAUACGUUCCCGGGCCUUGUACACACCGCCCGUCACACCAUGGGAGUGGGUUGCAAAAGAAGUAGGUAGCUUAACCUUCGGGAGGGCGCUUACCACUUUGUGAUUCAUGACUGGGGUGAAGUCGUAACAAGGUAACCGUAGGGGAACCUGC